GGUGGGGUACCCAAGUGGCCAACGGGAGCAGACUGUAAAUCUGCCGGCGACAGCCUUCGAAGGUUCGAAUCCUUCCCCCACCAC
rnacentral:tRNA from 1 species